GAUCAAGUGUCUUAAGGGCAAUUGGUGGAUGCCUUGGCAUGCACAGGCGAUGAAGGACGUGAUACGCUGCGAUAAGCUACGGGGAGGUGCGAAUACCCUUUGAUCCGUAGAUUUCCGAAUGGGGAAACCCACCUAAGGUGCUUGGAAAAUCAGAGCAGCAGGUAAUUGGCGCGAGAUCCCAAAAGGAUUGAGCGUUAAGCGACGAUCUCUUUGAGAUCGCGCAGACUUGCUGCUGUGGUUUCCAAGUAUCUGUUAUAGGUAACUUAUCCUGAAUACAUAGGGAUAAAGUGGCGAACGCGGGGAACUGAAACAUCUAAGUACCCGUAGGAAAGGACAUCAACCGAGACUCCGGCAGUAGUGGCGAGCGAACCCGGACCAGGCCAGUGGCGAUGAUGAGACAAGCGGAACCUUCUGGAAAGUAGGGCCAUAGUGGGUGACAGCCCCGUACGCGUAAUGCAAAUCAUCGUCCUCGAGUAAGGCGGGACACGUGAAAUCCUGUCUGAAAUUGGGGGGACCACCCUCCAAGCCUAAGUACUCGUGCAUGACCGAUAGCGAACUAGUACCGUGAGGGAAAGGUGAAAAGCACCCCGACAAGGGGAGUGAAAGAGUACCUGAAACCGAUUGCCUACAAACAGUGGGAGUCCAAGGUUCGUCCUGGGUGACCACGUACCUUUUGUAUAAUGGGUCAGCGACUUAGUGUGACGAGCAAGCUUAAACCGCUAGGUGUAGGCGCAGCGAAAGCGAGUCUGAACAGGGCGUUCAGUUCGUCGCAUUAGACCCGAAACCGAGUGAUCUAGCCAUGAGCAGGUUGAAGGUAAGGUAACACUUACUGGAGGACCGAACCCAUAACUGUUGCAAUAGUUCGGGAUGACUUGUGGCUAGGGGUGAAAGGCCAAUCAAACUCGGAAAUAGCUGGUUCUCCGCGAAAUCUAUUUAGGUAGAGCGUCGACCGAAUACCCCAGGGGGUAGAGCACUGGAUGGGCUAGGGGUCCUCACCGGAUUACCAAACCUAACCAAACUCCGAAUACCUGGGAGUACUAGUCGGCAGACACACGGCGGGUGCUAACGUCCGUCGUGAAAAGGGAAACAACCCUGACCUACAGCUAAGGUCCCCAAGUUAUGGCUAAGUGGGAAAGGAUGUGAGGAUCCCAAAACAACCAGGAUGUUGGCUUAGAAGCAGCCAUCAUUUAAAGAAAGCGUAACAGCUCACUGGUCUAAAUAAGGGUCUUUGCGCCGAAAAUGUAACGGGGCUCAAGCCAUACACCGAAGCUUAGGGUUCGUGAGCAAUCACGAGCGGUAGCGGAGCGUUCUGUAAGCUGAUGAAGCCAUACCCGUGAGGGGUGGUGGAGGUAUCAGAAGUGCGAAUGCUGACAUGAGUAACGUAAGGGGAGUGAGAGACUCCCCCGCCGAAAGUCCAAGGGUUCCUGCUUAAAGCUAAUCUGAGCAGGGUUAGCCGGCCCCUAAGUCGAGGCAGAAAUGCGUAGACGAUGGGAACCACGUUAAUAUUCGUGGGCCUGGAGGAAGUGACGGAUCAUUGAGGUAGUCCAAUCUUAUCGGAUUGAACGGGCUGCUGCGUGGUUCCAGGAAAUAGCUCCUCCUUAUAGACCGUACCCGAAACCGACACUGGUGGACUGGUAGAGUAUACCAAGGCGCUUGAGAGAACUAUGCUGAAGGAACUCGGCAAAUUGCACGCGUAACUUCGGAAGAAGCGUGACCCUUUUCCACGCAAGUGGAGGAGGGUGGCACAGACCAGGGGGUAGCGACUGUUUAUCAAAAACACAGGGCUCUGCGAAGUCGCAAGACGACGUAUAGGGUCUGACGCCUGCCCGGUGCUGGAAGGUUAAGAGGAGGGGUGCAAGCUCUGAAUCGAAGCCCCAGUAAACGGCGGCCGUAACUAUAACGGUCCUAAGGUAGCGAAAUUCCUUGUCGGGUAAGUUCCGACCUGCACGAAUGGCGUAACGACUUCCCCGCUGUCUCCAGCAUAGACUCAGUGAAAUUGAAUUCCCCGUGAAGAUGCGGGGUUCCUGCGGUUAGACGGAAAGACCCCGUGCACCUUUACUAUAGCUUUACAUUGGCAUUCGUAGUGGCAUGUGUAGGAUAGGUGGUAGGCUUUGAAACCUGGGCGCCAGCUCAGGUGGAGCCACCCUUGAAAUACCACCCUUAUCACUAUGGAUGUCUAACCGCGGCCCGUCAUCCGGGUCCGGGACAAUGUAUGGUGGGUAGUUUGACUGGGGCGGUCGCCUCCUAAAGAGUAACGGAGGCGCGCGAUGGUGGGCUCAGAACGGUCGGAAAUCGUUCGCUGAGUGCAAUGGCAUAAGCCUGCCUGACUGCGAGACUGACAAGUCGAGCAGAGACGAAAGUCGGUCAUAGUGAUCCGGUGGUCCCGCGUGGAAGGGCCAUCGCUCAACGGAUAAAAGGUACGCCGGGGAUAACAGGCUGAUGACCCCCAAGAGUCCAUAUCGACGGGGUUGUUUGGCACCUCGAUGUCGACUCAUCGCAUCCUGGGGCUGGAGCAGGUCCCAAGGGUAUGGCUGUUCGCCAUUUAAAGCGGUACGUGAGUUGGGUUCAGAACGUCGUGAGACAGUUCGGUCCCUAUCUGCCGUGGGUGUAGGAAUAUUGAAAGGAUCUGUCCCUAGUACGAGAGGACCGGGAUGGACGGAUCUCUGGUGGACCUGUUGUGGCGCCAGCCGCAUAGCAGGGUAGCUAUAUCCGGACGGGAUAACCGCUGAAGGCAUCUAAGCGGGAAACCCACCUUAAAACGAGUAUUCCCUGAGAACCGUGGAAGACGACCACGUUGAUAGGNGAAGGCAUCUAAGCGGGAAACCCACCUUAAAACGAGUAUUCCCUGAGAACCGUGGAAGACGACCACGUUGAUAGGCCGGGUGUGGAAGAGCGGCAACGCUUGAAGCUUACCGGUACUAAUAGUUCGAUCGGCUUGAUCGUUCUCAUU
rnacentral:rRNA from 1 species